UAACGCAAUUAAUCAUCCCCUUCCUUAUCCGACCCCUCCCCUGCCCCUCUCCCUCACUCUUUGAUAACGCCCAAAUCGAUCCGAUCUCUCCCCUUCCCCUCUCCCUAAAUCUUUGAUUAACGCCCAAAACCCUUUAUUACCUUCUUUAUUUAUCUGUGCUUUCCCCUGCCCCUCGACGUUCGGACUCCUCGUCAGUUUCCCUCUACCUCUCACCUGCUCUCCCCUUCCGUUUUAUGCUGCUAUAAAUACCUUAUGCUUCAAUUUUGAUGGAACAACGAAAGGUUUUUUUUCUCCAAUUGUGUCAGAGUUUUAUUGGCGGAGUAGAAAGUUCUCAAGGUAUAAAUCUAGGUCUAAAGAUUAAAAACAACCAACAACUACAAGGAAAAUAAGGAUAUGCUUUAUUAACGGUAUCAAGGUCUGUGAGAAGACAUGAUUGAGGCACUUUAAAUUCUAGGACUUCGGAAACAAGCGUAUUUACUUCAGAGGGGAAGAGAUAGGAUCAAUGAGAGCAUGCGUGCACUUCAAGAGCUUAUACCCAAUUGCAAUAAGAUUAGCAAAACUAUCUGAAGGUCAGCUAAUUGAUGGACCCAGUUAUGAAGUUUCUCCCUAAAUGGUUCUUCCAUCAAAAUAUAUGCAUGGUCCAGGAACAAGACAUGAGAUUCCUUUCAUCUCAAAAUGAAAUCCUAAUGAAGGAAAUGACUCCUGUUGGUAAAAUGUAUAUUAAUCUUGGGUCAUGUGACACUUGGGUCUUGGAGUAUCGAAAGUGGAAGGAUAGAGUAGGGCAUGGGAUGCCAUACUAUUUUGGGCAUAGUUCAAUCUCAUUGCCAAAUGAUCCAGCUCUUGUUGAGCAAUACAGAGCUGGACUUGAUGCGGGGAUUUCAGCUUCUAUGCCUGCAAAAGAGGGAAACGCAGAUAUUUAUGCCUCAAAUCCAAUAAACCGAUAUUUCAGACACCUCAUUGUAAAAAGUGUAUAAUAAAGCUAUGUUUUCAAUCUAUCAUGUUGACUCUUUUUUACUCUCAUUGUAUGUAUAUCGUUAUGUAUAUCGUCAUGCUAAUUGAAUACUUUGCUGGUUUGUAAUGUGAUGCUGAAUAUUAAUUAUUUGCAGUUAAUAUCAACUUACCUCUUCUUGAUUGUGCA